AGCCACCCUGCUGCUACAGAAAGCUAAUUAGACCCUCACAUAUUGCUCCCCCUGCUUGGCUAAUGAUGGUGGUGUGAACACUAUGACACAGAAGUGUCACUAACUAUCCCUGUCUCUAUGGCUAGCUGAACACAGGUCCACAGAUGAGAUAAAGUCCUUUAUUUCACCUGUAUCUCCUUCAGCACCAAAUCACAGGUGUGUGUACUGUAGGACUUUGCUUUUAGUGGGGAUUGGUGACAUGUAUAGCAGCAGAUGUUCCUCUGUGUCAGAGUCGUGUAUCCAUACUGUAGUCCAAUGUUAAGAAGAAUAGUUUUGUAGCAUAUAAAGAAUAUUCUUAUUUAUGCAUUGGAGGAAUGUUGUCCUGCACAACUGCUCUAAAGGUCAAGCGUGGCCCCAGAACAACAGAGUGCUGAAUGUGACCUGGUACCUCCUGUGACCCCCAGCUACAUCAGGAAAGAAGCCCAACGGAGCUCAUCAUGGAAUGAACAGGUAGCCUGCAGCCAUAUCAUCUGACAUUUGCCUCUAGUCAAAUGAAACGGUCAUGGCUAGAAGGGCUCCAGCUUUUGUCAAAUGAAACAGUCAUGGCUAGAAGGGCUCCAGCUUUUGUCAAAUUAACAUCAAAAGUAGAUUUUUUUGGGGACAUUUUAGCUAACCCUAACUGUUUUCCUAACCUUAACCUAAUUCUUAUGACCGAUUGCGUUAAUUCUCCUUACCGGCUGAGUACGUUCUCCUAACCUUCUACGAAAAGUCACAUUUGAAUAAAGCUGUUUCCCAUCUAUUCAAAACCAAAUGAAACCGGACGAUGUGCAUUGCAUUCUCCUUCUCCAGUCUCAGCCAAGAGGAUUCAAUAAAAUACACACACUACCACUGCACAAAAAGAGACAAGAACGUGCUCUAUUGUUGACAAUAUGCUAAGGUGAAUACAAAGUUAGCUUUGGAAAAUGUCAUCAAAUACAUUUUACGACACCGUGCAGCAUAAGAAAAAACACAAACAUGAAACAAACUUCCAAGAGACAAAUUAUCAAAGGCAACUAAUCUGUCAUACUUCACCAGGUCACAACAGCUAAAUCAAGAUUAGAAUGGAGGGAAACAACUCAUCAGACCUUUGAUGUUUACUACCUUUCUUAAUGGGCAUGAUUGGCCCAUGAUUACUCCUUUGGUUUCUGUAGAUAUGUAUAUGAAUACAGGCAGUAAGGGCACAAUGAAAUACAGUCUAUAAAUAUUAAUGAAGGCUUAAAUGUCACAUUCCAAACUGCCGUAAUCUGUGACAUUAGCUACAUUUAGAUCACUUUCACACACAAAUCACUUUAAUCUACUCCUCCACAUUGUAGUUUGAAUUUGAAAUUCAAUCAACCACUAUGUUACAAUGCCAAUGGCACUAUCAUGGCCGCAGGAAGAUGUUUUGUGGUGGGGGGGCUUUUAGUAGCAGGCUAGGAGAACUUACUCAGCAGGUUAGGAGAACUUACUCAGCAGGUUAGGAGAACUUACUCAGCAGGUUAGGAGAACUUACUCAGCAGGUUAGGAGAACUUACUCAGCAGGUUAGGAGAACUUACUCAGCAGGUUAGGAGAACUUACUCAGCAGGUUAGGAGAACUUACUCAGCAGGUUAGGAGAACUAACGUAGCAGGCUAGGAGAACUUACUCAGCAGGUUAGGAGAACUUACUCAGCAGGUUAGGAGAACUAACGUAGCAGGUUAGGAGAACUUACUCAGCAGGUUAGGAGAACUAACGUAGCAGGUUAGGAGAACUUACUCAGCAGGUUAGGAGAACUUACUCAGCAGGUUAGGAGAACUUACUCAGCAGGUUAGGAGAACUAACGUAGCAGGCUAGGAGAACUUAUUCAGUAUAACGUAGCAGGUUAGGAGAACUAACGUAGCAGGCUAGGAGAACUUAUUCAGUAUAACGUAGCAGGUUAGGAGAACUAACGUAGCAGGCUAGGAGAACUUACUCAGCAGGUUAGGAGAAUUAACGUAGCAGGUUAAGAUAAUUAACGUAGCAGGUUAGGAGAAUUAACGUAGCAGGUUAGGAGAACUUACUCAGCAAGUUAGGAGAAUUAAUGUAGCAGGUAAGGAGAACUUACUCAGCAGGUUAGGAGAAUUAACGUAGCAGGUUAAGAGAAUUAACAUAGCAGGUUAGGAGAAUUAACAUAGCAGGUUAGGAAAAUUAACAUAGCAGGUUAAGAGAAUUAACAUAGCAGGUUAGGAGAAUUAACGUAGCAGGUUUGACAACGUCUGACAAUACUGCAUUGCAAAAUGGGCUCAUCUUUCUCUCUCUCUCUCUCUCUCUCUCUCUGUCUCUCUCGCUCUGUCUCUCUGUCUCUCUCUCUGUCUCACACACAGAUAUUGACCAGGGAGACCAUGUGAAAAGAAACACACACACACACACACACACACACACACACACACACCACACACACACACACACACACACACACAGACACAGCCUGCUGUUUGGUCCUCGGUUAAUCUUGAUCUCAAGCGCCACCUUGUGUCCGUAAAUGUAAAAGUACACUGAGUGCUCUUUCCAUGACAGACUGACCAGGUGAAUCCAGGUGAAAGAUGAUCUCUUAUUGAUGUCCACUUCAAUCAGUGUAGAUGAAAGGUAGGAGACUGGUUAAAGAAGGAUUUUUAAGCCUUGAUACAAUUGAGACAUGGAUUGUGUGUGUGUGUGCCAUUCAGAGUGUGAAUGGGAAAGAACGGGGUAUGGUAGUAGGUGCCAGGCGCACCGGUUUGUAUCAAGAACUGCAACACUACUGGGUUUUUCACACUCAACAGUUUCCCGUGAGUAUGAAGAAUGGUCCACCAGCCAACUUGACACAACUGUGGGAAGCACUGGAGUCAACAUGGACCAGCAUCCUUUCGACACCUUGUAGAGUCCAUGCCCUGAAGAAUUGAGGCUGUUCUGCAACGCAAUAUUAGGAAGUGUUCUUCAUGUUUUGUACACUCAGUGUAAAGUAUAUUUUUCUAAAUGUAGACCUUCUUGUCUCAAGGUCUGUUCUAUGUGUGUAGAGUGAAUCUACAAGUCACAGAAUAAUUAUCAUCCAAGUCAAUUUUGCAGUUAGCUCACUGUUAGUCCAAAUCUCUGUUGUUGGUCUGACUGUUCAGGAUGGUCUCAUGGAAUACACUGGAAUGGGAAAGAAAAGGAUCAGAUUCAGUUGGAUGUUGUUUUGUGUGUGGCAAGACAUGUUUCGCUGUGGUAUUCGUCACGGGAUCUCUGAAACAACAUUUUAAGAACAAUCUACAAAAGAAACACACUUGAACACCAGUUUACAGCAAAUACUGUAGAUCACGUGUCAAACUCAUUCCACAGAGGAUGGAGUGUCUGCGUGUUUUCACUCCUCCCUUGUACAUGACUGAUGAAUUAAGGUCACUAUUUAGUAAGGAACGCUCCUCACCUGGUUGUCUAGGUCUUAAUUGAAAGGAAAAAACAAAAACCAGCA
ensembl:lncRNA